GGAAAGGUGCUGGAGUGGUCGAACAGGCGCGCCUGGAGAGCGCGUAGGGGUGCAAGCCCCUCGGGGGUUCGAAUCCCCCCCUUUCCGCCA
rnacentral:tRNA from 1 species